AGAGUUUGAUCCUGGCUCAGGAUGAACGCUAGCUACAGGCUUAACACAUGCAAGUCGAGGGGCAGCAUGGUCUUAGCUUGCUAAGGCCGAUGGCGACCGGCGCACGGGUGAGUAACACGUAUCCAACCUGCCGUCUACUCUUGGACAGCCUUCUGAAAGGAAGAUUAAUACAAGAUGGCAUCAUGAGUCCGCAUGUUCACAUGAUUAAAGGUAUUCCGGUAGACGAUGGGGAUGCGUUCCAUUAGAUAGUAGGCGGGGUAACGGCCCACCUAGUCUUCGAUGGAUAGGGGUUCUGAGAGGAAGGUCCCCCACAUUGGAACUGAGACACGGUCCAAACUCCUACGGGAGGCAGCAGUGAGGAAUAUUGGUCAAUGGGCGAGAGCCUGAACCAGCCAAGUAGCGUGAAGGAUGACUGCCCUAUGGGUUGUAAACUUCUUUUAUAAAGGAAUAAAGUCGGGUAUGCAUACCCGUUUGCAUGUACUUUAUGAAUAAGGAUCGGCUAACUCCGUGCCAGCAGCCGCGGUAAUACGGAGGAUCCGAGCGUUAUCCGGAUUUAUUGGGUUUAAAGGGAGCGUAGAUGGAUGUUUAAGUCAGUUGUGAAAGUUUGCGGCUCAACCGUAAAAUUGCAGUUGAUACUGGAUAUCUUGAGUGCAGUUGAGGCAGGCGGAAUUCGUGGUGUAGCGGUGAAAUGCUUAGAUAUCACGAAGAACUCCGAUUGCGAAGGCAGCCUGCUAAGCUGCAACUGACAUUGAGGCUCGAAAGUGUGGGUAUCAAACAGGAUUAGAUACCCUGGUAGUCCACACGGUAAACGAUGAAUACUCGCUGUUUGCGAUAUACAGCAAGCGGCCAAGCGAAAGCGUUAAGUAUUCCACCUGGGGAGUACGCCGGCAACGGUGAAACUCAAAGGAAUUGACGGGGGCCCGCACAAGCGGAGGAACAUGUGGUUUAAUUCGAUGAUACGCGAGGAACCUUACCCGGGCUUAAAUUGCAGAUGAAUUACGGUGAAAGCCGUAAGCCGCAAGGCAUCUGUGAAGGUGCUGCAUGGUUGUCGUCAGCUCGUGCCGUGAGGUGUCGGCUUAAGUGCCAUAACGAGCGCAACCCUUGUUGUCAGUUACUAACAGGUCAUGCUGAGGACUCUGACAAGACUGCCAUCGUAAGAUGUGAGGAAGGUGGGGAUGACGUCAAAUCAGCACGGCCCUUACGUCCGGGGCUACACACGUGUUACAAUGGGGGGUACAGAGGGCCGCUACCACGCGAGUGGAUGCCAAUCCCAAAAACCUCUCUCAGUUCGGACUGGAGUCUGCAACCCGACUCCACGAAGCUGGAUUCGCUAGUAAUCGCGCAUCAGCCACGGCGCGGUGAAUACGUUCCCGGGCCUUGUACACACCGCCCGUCAAGCCAUGGGAGCCGGGGGUACCUGAAGUGCGUAACCGCGAGGAGCGCCCUAGGGUAAAACUGGUGACUGGGGCUAAGUCGUAACAAGGUA
rnacentral:rRNA from 1 species